rnacentral:lncRNA from 10 species
GGAAAGCCCACCCCAAGGGAACAAUCAGGGAAGAAGGAACGCAAGACGGUGGAAGCAUGCCAACCUAUUAAACCGCAAGUCAGAGAUCAAACCAUGAUCCUCAUUUGAAAAUGGAAAAAGAAAAGAAAUGGAGGCAUUGUGUGAUAUUUGCCUAAAUAUAACUAAAGAGAUCCAUUUAUUUUUAGUGUUUGAUUAAAAACCCUCAAAGGAAAAGAGAAAUUUUGAUCUUUGAGAAGAGCUGUUUCAUCACAGGGGUGAAGUUGUUUCCUGAGCCCUUUGAUCUGAAAUGACCUUGCGACCUGGAACCAGCAGACAGCCUGAGGGAGGCAGUGCAUGUUCUGAGCCAGGGCCUCAGGAGGCCUGCAGCUGCCAUUCUGCUUCUGUUGGAACAUGACCUCCUUGAGAACACUCCCAGGCCUGACUGCAGGGUGGGGAGACCACACAGAGCAGAGCCGAGCCACCGGGAUGAGGCCCCUAGAUCACCCAGCUCCCAGCUGACCACAGAUCAUGAGUGAUCCCGGUUUCUCCCUAGGUCAAGGGUGAUGUUUUGCUCAGAGAAAACUGAAGUUUGGAUUGUUCCAGUCCUGCAUCACAUCCUGUUUCAGGCUGCCCUAAAACAAAACCAGAAACAACCAUCACCACAAAACACCAUACCUUCAAUAGUCUUCUCAGUGUUCAGAAUAAAGGCUCUGGUUUUCCCUUGGGCUCA